rnacentral:antisense_RNA from 1 species
CUGGGUACUGAAGCUCGCGAGAGGAUCUUGGGGGCACGCGCGUCGCGGUGACAGUGUUUCUUGGGUGUGCGGGGCCUGGCGCCCCAUAUCUUCUGGUCUGCAUGGGGAUUACAGGUGUUUGGCAAGUGGCAUGGCAGAACAGAGAAUCUAGAUUCAGGUCCUGGACUUGGAUAUAAGCUGUCACUUGUUACUUGGCCUUGCACUAAAUGACCAUUCUCAGGACAAGUUCAGGAACCCUAAAGGCAAACUGGCCUAGGGCCUGGGAAGUGGAGAAUGCCUAUUCCUAGGCUAACCCAAGCAUUAGAGAAGCAUCAGGCCGCCAUUCUAGACUCAACUGCUCACCUCCUCUGGUCCACUGAGAUGUCUCUGGAAAUCCUCCACCACAGCCACAGCCUCCUCACCACUCUCAGGGUGAUGCAGCUGCACCCAGGUCCGGAGCUCCCCAGGGAGGAUGCU